AGUGAACGCUGGCGGUAGGCCUAACACAUGCAAGUCGAACGGCAGCACAGUAAGAGCUUGCUCUUACGGGUGGCGAGUGGCGGACGGGUGAGGAAUACAUCGGAAUCUACUUUUUCGUGGGGGAUAACGUAGGGAAACUUACGCUAAUACCGCAUACGACCUACGGGUGAAAGCAGGGGAUCUUCGGACCUUGCGCGAUUGAAUAAGCCGAUGUCGGAUUAGCUAGUUGGCGGGGUAAAGGCCCACCAAGGCGACGAUCCGUAGCUGGUCUGAGAGGAUGAUCAGCCACACUGGAACUGAGACACGGUCCAGACUCCUACGGGAGGCAGCAGUGGGGAAUAUUGGACAAUGGGCGCAAGCCUGAUCCAGCCAUACCGCGUGGGUGAAGAAGGCCUUCGGGUUGUAAAGCCCUUUUGUUGGGAAAGAAAAGCAGCAGGUUAAUACCCCGCUGUUCUGACGGUACCUAAAGAAUAAGCACCGGCUAACUUCGUG
rnacentral:rRNA from 1 species